UGCAUAUCAAUAAGCGGAGGAAAAGAAACUAACAAGGAUUCCCCUAGUAACGGCGAGUGAAGCGGGAAGAGCUCAAAUUUGAAAUCUUAAAGGGUUUCCCUUUACGAAUUGUAGUUUAAAGAAGUGUUUUCUGUUGAGGUUUUGGUAAAAGUUCUUUGGAAUAGGACAUCAUAGAGGGUGAGAAUCCCGUAUUUGACCUUUACUUUCAACUUUGUGAUACACUUUCAAAGAGUCGGAUUGUUUGGGAAUGCAGUCCAAAAUGGGUGGUAAAUUUCAUCUAAAGCUAAAUAUUGGCGAGAGACCGAUAGCGAACAAGUACCGUGAGGGAAAGAUGAAAAGAACUUUGAAAAGAGAGUUAAACAGUACGUGAAAUUGUCAAAAGGGAAGCGUUUGACACCAGUGUUGUUUUUCUGAAAAUCAAUUAAAGAACUGUUUAUGCUAAGUUGUUUAGACUUUAUCAGCUAUCUGUUUAGUUUUGAGCUUUUCUUUAAUGCACUUUUCAGUUAACAAGUCAACAUCAAUUUCUUUUGCUGUAAAAAAGCUUGAGGAAGGUGGCUUGAGAUUCGUCUUAAGUGUUUAUAGCCUCUUGCCUAUGCAGUCGGAGAGAUUGAGGUCUGCAGCGUAGAUCCUUCGGGGCUAAAUGCAUUUGUGCUAAGUUAUAGCAUUUUAUAGACAACUUGUUGACUAUGAUUUGUCUUGUAGCUUACUCGCUUAUGUUAUUUUACCUACGCUUAGGAUGUGACAAAAAGCAAGACGUG
rnacentral:rRNA from 1 species